GUCGAGUACGAUAUUGAUGAGGAAUUAUUAAGGCCGAGGUUUGUGUUAUGUAUUGUCUGCGAGAACCGAAUUCAAUAUUUGUUUUAUUAUUUAUUUUUUAUUAUUUAUUUAUUUUUAAUUUUAGCUUCCCCAAGGUCGGCGAACCUUUCCUUUGAGGAAGCCAUUUGUAUUUUCUCGCUUUUGGCAUGAGCCGCAUAAAUUAGCGUGACGUCAUAGCGUGUAACAAUAUACACUUAAUGUCUGCACCCGAGG